rnacentral:rRNA from 1 species
AUGAUUGAUGGUUGCCCCGCUCUAGAGUGCUUGCUGAUUCGCCGCGGCUCUGGCUUCCGUUGUGUCCGAAUCAACUCCAUCAGCCUUAGAGGCAUAGGUGUGGAAGUUUAUUGGGAAGACCUCAGAUUAGAGGAAGUCAUCAUCGAGAAUGCCCCUUGUCUUGAAAAGUUGCUCCUAUUUGGCUCAGCUGAAUCCCGGCAUAUAUCGGUAAUCUCCGCACCUAAAUUGGAGACCCUAGGCUGCCUAUCUUCCCAUUUAUCUGAUUUUAGUCAACAUGAUUUUAGUACCACACUCACGCUAUACUCGACAGUUAUUCAGGGAUUGCGUGUUCAUAGCUUGACGGAGACGGUGCGCACUGUCAAGAUUUUAUCUGUUCGUAUGAUUGCUCUUAGUUUGGAUGUUGUUAUUGACUUGAUGAGAUGCUUUCCUUGCUUGGAAAGGCUGUACAUUGACGUAACAAUUCUUCCUUAA